GAUGAAGAACGUAGCGAAAUGCGAUACGUAAUGUGAAUUGCAGAAUUCAGUGAAUCAUCGAAUCUUUGAACGCAUAUUGCGCUCUUUGGUAUUCCGAAGAGCAUGCUUGUUUGAGUAUCAGUAAACACCUCAACCUCUUCUUGAUUUUUCAAAAGGAGGGUGGACUUGAGCUAUCCCAACAACCUUUACCGGUCGGCGGGCGGCUUGAAAUGCAGGUGCAGCUGGACUUUUAUCUGAGCUGAAAGCAUAUCUAUUUAGUCCUCGUCAAACAGGAUUAUUACUUUUGCUGCAGCUAACAUAAAGGAUAAUUGUCCUCUUUGCUGACUGAUGCAGGAUUUUACGACACUUUAUGUGUUGUUCAACUCGAUCUCAAAUCAAGUAAGACUACCCGCUGAACUUAAGCAUAUCAAUAAGCGGAGGA
rnacentral:misc_RNA from 1 species